GACAGAGGCCUCAAGCGUUAGGCGGAAUCACUGGGCUUAAAGCGUGUGUAGGCGGAUCGUUAAGUACCUUGUGAAAUCCCACGGCUCACCCGUGGAACUGCUUGGCAUACUGGCGGUCUUGAGCAACCUAGGGGCGAGCGGAACAAAUGGUGGAGCGGUGAAAUGCGUAGAUAUCAUUUGGAACGCCAAUGGUGAAAACAGCUCGCUGGGGGUUUGCUGACGCUGAGACACGAAAGCCAGGGGAGCAAACGGG
rnacentral:rRNA from 1 species